AUUGAACGCUGGCGGCAUGCUUUACACAUGCAAGUCGAACUGCAGCGCGGGUUUCGGCCUGGCCGCGUGUGGCGAACGGGUGAGUCAUGCAUCGGAACUUGCCCCGUCGUGUGGGAUAGCCUGCUGAUACCUGGAUUAAUACUGCUUACGCCUCGUGGGUUAAUGCGGGCGGUCGAAACGCUUCGCGCUCUUUGCGUGGCCUUUGCCGGUUUAGCUAGUUGGUGGGGUAAAGGCGUAUCAAGGCGACGAUCCGUAGCUGGUCUGAGAGGACGACCAGCCACACUGGGAGUGAGACACGGCACAGACGCCUAGGGGAAGCAGCAGUAGGGAAUUUUGGACAAUGGGGGCGACCCUGAGGAAGCCAUACCGCGUGCGGGAAGAAGGACUUCUGGUUGUAAACCGAUGUUGUUCGGAAAGAAAAGCUCUGGGAGAAUACCAGAAGAGAAUGACGGUACCGGAAGAAUAAGCACCGGCUAAAUACGUG
rnacentral:rRNA from 1 species